UACGGAGGGUGCGAGCGUUGUCCGGAAUCAUUGGGCGUAAAGGGCGCGUAGGUGGCCCGGUCAGUCUUUGGUGAAAGCGCGGGGCUCAACCCUGCGUCGGCCAGGGAUACUGCCGCGGCUGGAGCACUGUAGAGGCAGGCGGAAUUCCGGGUGUAGCGGUGGAAUGCGUAGAGAUCCGGAAGAACACCGGUGGCGAAGGCGGCCUGCUGGGCAGUUUCGCUGACACUGAGGCGCGACAGCGUGGGGAGCAAACAGG
rnacentral:rRNA from 1 species